CGAACGGGUUGGCGGCCGGCUCCUCCUCCUCCUCGGUCUGGGGCACGUAGUCCGUCUUCAUCAGCGACUUGCGGUACACGAGCAGGGGGUUCAUAUCCCCUUCCCCAAAGCUAGUACCUCAGGGAGGCCCCCUGUCUGGCACAGGCAGCCAACACAAGACACGUGGCCAGCACCCCCACCCCCGGGGUCGGAGGCUCAAGAGAUCCAGAGAGGCGUCUCCUGGACCUGCAGCCCCCGCCCAGAGCUGAGUGAGUGCCCGUGACGACCGGGUCCCGGACGACAGUGCCGCUCGCCGAUGACCUCUUCCGCAGAGGACAGGGGCGGGGCUCCUGCUGGGAGCCACGCCGAGGCCAGGGUGCCAGGGGAGCACCCGUGACUGCCCACACGGGGAUCCGGGGUCCCCGCACCAUCCGGCGGUCACCCCAGUCCGCCACGUCACAUCUGCUCAGCAGCAGCUCCCCGGGCCUGCCCCGGAGGCGGACUCAACAGAAAACCAGGAGCGAGAAAGAUGCUCCCAGUCCGAGGAGGCACACGCAGAGCGGGCCCUGACGUGGCGGGGACGUGCCCGCCAACGUUCCACGCGUGCCCUGGGGCAUCUGUGGGUCGUCCGAACAGGUCACGUGAGACCCGUCCCACAACGGGAGGAACAAGGCCGCUUCCCGAGGAAGAACCAAUGGCAGGAAAGCAUCAGAGAUAAAGGGAGGCCUCGGGGCAAGCGUCCAGAAGGUGCUCACGCUCCAGAACCCGGAAACAGAGGCCACGUGCCGGAAAACCGCCACGCAGGCUGUCCGCCAGAGACCCUGCCGGCCUGUAAGUCCACACUGGCUCUGCCACACCCUCCCGUCCUUGCCCGUCGUGACACGAGAGGCAGACGCACCCGUGUGAAAAGCAGAACAGAGCACGGAACAAGCCACGCUUCACGGCCACGGGUGCCACGUACGUGGGUAAGGCGACCACCACGGGAUGGAAGAAUAGAUGCGGACGCCCUCUCACGCCGUGUCAUGACAGAGGGACGCCCAUCCUGAGGUUCAGUGGACGGAGCUGGGGGUGACGCCCACCCGGAGGAUCAGGGACACCCCGCCCCCAGUUCAUUGUGCGAGGACACACGUGGAACCCCCCCGGGGACAAUCCAGCCCAACACUGGGGCACGGCGGCCCCCUGACCCCCACGACGCGGUGACGCCCCUCCGUCUAGGAAGCCGUGGGCACACGCGUCCACCUGCCACGUGUCCCCGCAACACCCUGUGACCGCAUCCUCCUUUGUCCUCCCGUCCUUGAACAGCAGAGGAACCCGACACAAAGGUCCCACGACCCUGAGGUGGGGCCGACCGCGGAAGCCAACUGCGGGGGACUGAAUCAGUCCCCCGAAUCCACCUGCGCAAGCCUGACCACCGAGGGGGCCCUGGCAGCUGGCGAGGAGCAGAUCAGGUCAGGACGGCGGGGCCCACGCAGUGCGUUAGUGCUCUCGAAGGUGUCCCUAGAGCUUCCUGCCCUCCGCCCACAGCCACGUGGGGACACGGCAGAGGGGACCGUGUG